GCGGGGGUAGCUCAAUUGGGAGAGCACUCCGUCCGGAUGUAUUUGGCUUCUGCCAGACCUACGAAGCCAUUGCAGCCGCUUGGAUGGAGAGGUUGGGUGUUCAAAUCGCCCCCCCUGCA
rnacentral:tRNA from 1 species